CGGACGGCGUCGGCGGUCAGUGCGACUCUGAGACUUUGCGAGAUGCGACCGUCUGCUGCCGCCAACCGCCGUUGCCGAUGACUCGCGAUAGACCUUUGUCACGACAUUUGAGUUUCGUGUCCGUUUCAUCCGCCGACAGUGGCGGACGUUUAGACGCUACACCGGUACAUCAAAGGCCAUCACCAUUUACUGUUGGUUGAGCUCGUCGUCUCCCACGGGGAGACAUAACUAUGGACCGUCCGCGCUGGGUGGCAAGAGAGGCACCUUCCCGAACGUCGCCAUGCAGGAAGUGGAGAGGGCCAAAGCUAGACAUAUGGCGAAAAAACAAAACAGCAAAGUAGAACGUCAGAAAUCAUCAGACAAACAAUUAUCCAAAGCACCAAGUAUUGAGACCAAAAAACAAGAAAAAUGACAAACAAUAUUCACAUAUUAAAGAUUUUAUUUUUUUAGCACUCUCAUUGAAAAUGAUAACAACACUGUAAUUCGUAAUCAAAUAUACUUCUUUAAGUACACUAUAAUAUUGUUAUUGUAAUUUAUAAUACACGUCAUAAUUUCAUUGUAUAUUUACAUAAUAAUGAUCGUGUUAAUUUUACCUUAAAUUUUAUCACGUUUCGUGUAUUCAAUGACCAAAAAUAUUUUGUAACGUUUAGAGUGCAGAACAACUAUUAUAAUAGUAUUGCAUUAUUAUACCUAUUUGUUGUAUAAUAAUGUUAUGUCACACAUAUGGUUUUUUUUUUUGUAAAUUUAAAGCUCAAACAUCUUUGAAUGUUUAAUAAUACUACUUAUAUACGUACUUUGUAAGCGUCUUAGACUCUUAGAAGUAUGUCACACACAAUUAUAUUUAUAUUAUACUUAUACUAUAUUUAUAGACGUAUGUAAUACGAAUGGAAAUAAAUGAAUACAACUCCA